CUCAUAGCGUAUAUUAAUGUUGUUGCAGUUAAAAAGCUCGUAGUUGGAUUCCUGACCUGGGGUAGCCGGUCCGCCUUGCAAAAGGUGCGCACUGAGCGGCCUCGGUCAUCCUUGAGAAGAGCGGUCCUGGCAUUCAGUUGUCGGGGUCGGGAUUCUCGACGUUUACUGUGAAAAAAUCAGAGUGUUCAACGCAGGCUUACGCCUUGAAUACAUUAGCAUGGAAUAAUGAGAUAGGACCUUGGCGGUCUAUUUUGUUGGUUUGCACGCCAAGGUAAUGAUUAAAAGGGACGGUUGGGGUUCUUCGUAUUCAAUUGUCAGAGGUGAAAUUCUUGGAUUUAUGGAAGACGAACUGCUGCGAAAGCGUCGAACAAGGACGUUCUCAUUAAUCAAGAACGAAAGUUAGGGGAUCGAAGAUGAUUAGAUACCAUCGUAGUCUUAACCAUAAACUAUGCCGAUUCAGGAUUGGCGGUCGUUUGUUCUCGACUCCGUCAGCACUGUAUGAGAAAUCAAAAUCUUUGGGUUCCGGGGGGAGUAUGGUCGCAAGGCUGAAACUUAAAGAAAUUGACGGAAGGGCACCACCAGGAGUGGAGCCUGCGGCUUAAUUUGACUCAACACGGGGAAACUUACCAGGUCCAGACAUAGUAAGGAUUGACAGAUUGAGAGCUCUUUCUUGGUUCUAUGGGUGGUGGUGCAUGGCCGUUCU
rnacentral:rRNA from 1 species